GGGGGUAUAGCUCAGUGGCAGAGCGACUGACUGACAAUCGGAAAUGGUCUUGGGUUCGAAUCCCAGUGUCUCCA